UCGCGGCUUAUCACCGGCAGUCCCCUUAGAGUGCCCAACUGAAUGAUGGCAACUAAGGGCGAGGGUUGCGCUCGUUGUGGGACUUAACCCAACAUCUCACGACACGAGCUGACGACAGCCAUGCAGCACCUGUGCUGGCGCCCCGAAGGGGGGACCUGUUUCCAGGUCUUGCACCAGCAUGUCAAGCCUAGGUAAGGUUCUUCGCGUUGCGUCGAAUUAAACCACAUGCUCCACCGCUUGUGCGGGCCCCCGUCAAUUCCUUUGAGUUUCAGCCUUGCGGCCGUACUCCCCAGGCGGGGCACUUAAUGCGUUAGCGCCGGCCCUCGGAGGGUCGCUCCCCCAGGCACCUAGUACCCAUCGUUUACGGCGUGGACUAC
rnacentral:misc_RNA from 1 species